UGGGGAAUAUUGCACAAUGGGGGAAACCCUGAUGCAGCAACGCCGCGUGAAGGAUGAAGGUUUUCGGAUUGUAAACUUCUAUCGAUGGGGACGAACACAAUGACGGUACCCAAGUAAGAAGCCCCGGCUAACUACGUGCCAGCAGCCGCGGUAAUACGUAGGGGGCAAGCGUUAUCCGGAUUUACUGGGUGUAAAGGGUGAGUAGGCGGUUUGUAAAGUCAUGUGUGAAAUUCCGGGGCUUAACCCCGGAACUGCACAAGAAACUUACAAACUAGAGUACAGGAGAGGUAAGCGGAAUUCCUAGUGUAGCGGUGAAAUGCGUAGAUAUUAGGAAGAACACCAGUGGCGAAGGCGGCUUACUGGACUGAAACUGACGCUGAGUCACGAAAGCGUGGGGAGCGAACA
rnacentral:rRNA from 1 species